rnacentral:rRNA from 1 species
CACCCACCCUGGGGACUGAGACCCGGCCCCAGAUUCCUACGGGAGGCAGCAGUGGGGAAUUUUGGACAAUGGGCGAAAGCCUGAUCCAGCAAUGCCGCGGGGGGGAAGAAGGCCUUCGGGUUGUAAAGCACUUUUGUCCGGAAAGAAAUCCUUUGGGUUAAUACCUCGGGGGGAUGACGGUACCGGAAGAAUAAGCACCGGCUAACUACGUGCCAGCAGCCGCGGUAAUACGUAGGGUGCAAGCGUUAAUCGGAAUUACUGGGCGUAAAGCGUGCGCAGGCGGUUUUGUAAGACGGAUGUGAAAUCCCCGGGCUUAACCUGGGAACUGCAUUCGUGACUGCAAGGCUAGAGUAUGGCAGAGGGGGGUAGAAUUCCACGUGUAGCAGUGAAAUGCGUAGAGAUGUGGAGGAAUACCGAUGGCGAAGGCAGCCCCCUGGGCCAAUACUGACGCUCAUGCACGAAAGCGUGGGGAGCAAACAGGAUUAGAUACCCUGGUAGUCCACGCCCUAAACGAUGUCAACUAGUUGUUGGGGAUUCAUUUCCUUAGUAACGUAGCUAACGCGUGAAGUUGACCGCCUGGGGAGUACGGUCGCAAGAUUAAAACUCAAAGGAAUUGACGGGGACCCGCACAAGCGGUGGAUGAUGUGGAUUAAUUCGAUGCAACGCGAAAAACCUUACCUACCCUUGACAUGUACGGAAUCCUGCUGAGAGGUGGGAGUGCUCGAAAGAGAACCGUAACACAGGUGCUGCAUGGCUGUCGUCAGCUCGUGUCGUGAGAUGUUGGGUUAAGUCCCGCAACGAGCGCAACCCUUGUCCUUAGUUGCUACGCAAGAGCACUCUAAGGAGACUGCCGGUGACAAACCGGAGGAAGGUGGGGAUGACGUCAAGUCCUCAUGGCCCUUAUGGGUAGGGCUUCACACGUCAUACAAUGGUCGGUACAGAGGGCUGCCAAACCGCGAGGUGGAGCUAACCCCAGAAAACCGAUCGUAGUCCGGAUCGCAGUCUGCAACUCGACUGCGUGAAGCUGGAAUCGCUAGUAAUCGCGGAUCAGCAUGUCGCGGUGAAUACGUUCCCGGGUCUUGUACACACCGCCCGUCACACCAUGGGAGUGGGUUUUGCCAGAAGUAGGUAGCCUAACCGCAAGGAGGGCGCUACCACGCAGAUUCCU